rnacentral:lncRNA from 1 species
AUGAUGAGGGUGAGAGAGUAAAAAUGUCAUUUUUGAAAAAAAAAAAAAAAUUUGAUGGCAUUUUCGUAAAUUAUAUGAACUUGUGGGGUGAAUAGGGCAAAACCAAUUUUCAAAAAAAAAGGAGGUUACUUUUGUGUUUGACUUUAAGUUGUAGGUCAAUUUUGCAAAAAUCUCAUCUUUCUAUUUAGAGUAGGACACACUUUUUCCUAUUUUCAUGAUUUUUGUCAUCCGGUUCAUAUUUCCCCCCUCCACUCCAAAAUAAUGCAUGAGUCGGAUGACGAAAAUCAUGAAAAUUUGAAAAAGUGUGUCCUACUCUAAAUAGAAAGAUUGACUUUAUGAAUGAAUUAUCCUCGAUAUUACUCAAGACUUAAUAUAAUUUAGAAACUUUAAAUUAUUUUAUAUUUGACAAAGACGAUAUAAACAAAUCUUUUUAUAUCACUAUUGCCAAAU